rnacentral:lncRNA from 1 species
GCAGACUCGGUGACUGCUUGAUAGAGAUUGGACAAUGAACUGAGAAUCGACAUAAAGAAAAUGCUUUGCUGACUAUAGUGGGAACGACCCAUCGAUGGCAUAUUUCCCUAGCCCGAGAGACAAGUAAAAUCAGGAUUUCGAAAUUCUUCUUGCUUAGCUGCCCUAGUUGGUGAAAGCGACUCCAAAAGCAAGUGUAGAUCACCAGUUCCACCGAAUGCUCCUAUCUCUCGGCAAAGAUCGUGUGAGUGUGCAGUUAUGCUUCGGAUG